rnacentral:lncRNA from 1 species
CAGAACACGUCCCCCCGACACACACCAGGACAUGGCUCAAGGCCCGGGCCUCCCACACACCCCUGGGCUUCCAGCAUGUCCUUCCCACGUCAGACACCAGACAGAGCUGGUGCAGGUGGCUUCCAGGUGGCAUGUCCCUUCGGAUGGGCUCUGCCAUCCCUGUCAUGUGCACCAGCUGCUGUGUCCACCCUUAGUGCCAGCUCUGGGGGCCUAAGCAGGAGCUCAGGGACAUGGAGACCAUGCAAAGGAGGCAUCCACUGUAGGGUGUCCCAGGGCUGGGCACCAAGGCAGGACCUCCGUGUGCCCCAAAUGCCGGCUUCCCUGGAGACUGCAGCCAGCCGGGAUCUCUCACGUCAGCCUCCCAAGACCACCGUGAGGGGGGCGCUUAGGAGCAGAAACACCCAGGCUGAGCAGGAUGAGCAGGUGAAGCUGCUCAACGCAGGGGACGGGACACAGAGGCGACUCACGAGCCUGGGGCUCCAGCAGCAGCCAGGCAGGUCCCGCCACGCCUUUCGCUCUCAGCUACCAGUCUGCCUGCCACCAUCACCUUUGCGCGUGUGCCUGGGACCCUGGCUCCCCAAGCAGCCGCUAACUCCCGGACGCCUGCUGGCCCGGCCCCGGUCAUGAGUGCAUCCGGGGAAGGCUUCGGGCCUACAGGAACGGAAGGAAAAGCCAUCCAGCCUCCCUGACCCUCCACACGGAAGCUGAUGGGUUCCCCACACACCGGCUGCCGGGGACUGCCUCGACUCUGGUUUUGGCACAGACAGGCCCUGCUGCGUCCGUCAUCUCUGAUGGAAGUGACAGCCGUUUCCCCUGCAGAAAGGCCAGAGCGGCCCAUCCACGCUCCAGGGUGUGAGGCCAGCGGUAGCGUCCCCAGGGCCACAGCCCAGCGAGGGUGAGGUGGGGGAGCGUCCUGGCUGAGGGCUGGGCCGCCUCCCGCGUGCUCUGGGGAGCAAUGCUUCCGCACCACCCCCGCCCCUUCCUGGCUGUCUGUGAAACUGAACAUCUCCAAGUAAAUAUUUUAACAGCUAAGCACAGGCAGCGCUUCGAGGCUUCAUGACGAAGAUGUGGAAUGCUUGACCCUCACCUCUCACCUCUGCAGGUCCUGGGCACAGACUUCACCUUCUGGACCUUCUCCUAUCCAGAAAGUACGCGGCCCACACGGUGGUGCAAGGAGCCCUGGGCUGGGCAGCUGCCGGCCUGGAUCCAAGUCCUGCCCUGGCGAAAGUGCUGAUUACUUUACAUACUUCUGUCUCUGCAGAACCAGGUGAUUGAUCCUCAAAGCCCGGCCAGCUCCAGCAAGCUCUGGUACCUGCAACCAUGGGCCGCCCUGUGCCCGGGCCACCUUCCUCGAACCAUGU